rnacentral:rRNA from 1 species
GAUGAACGCUGGCGGCGUGCCUAAUACAUGCAAGUCGAGCGAACAGACCAGGUUCUUUCUCCUCUGACGUUAUCGGCGGACGGGUGAUUAACACAUGUAUAACCUACCUAUAAGACUGGGAUAACUACGCCAAACCGGAUCUAAUACCGGAUAAUAUAUUGAACUGCAUUGUUCACUCGUUAAAGUAGGUUUUUCUUUCACUAAUAGAUGACUCAGCGCUGCAUUAGCUAGUUGGUAAGGUAACGGGUUACCAAGGCUACGAUGCGUAGCCGACCUGACAGGGUGAUCGGCCACACUGGAACUGAGACACGGUCCAGACUCCUACGGGAGGAAGCAGUAGGGAAUCUUACGCAAUGGGCGAAAGCCUGACAUAGCAACGCCGCGUGAGGGAUGAAGGUCUUCGGAUCGUAAAACGCUGUUAGUAGGAAAGAAGAAAAGUGUAAGUAACCAUGCACGUCUUGACGGUACCGAAAGAAUAAGCCACGGCUAACUACGUG